rnacentral:lncRNA from 1 species
CCGGGGGCGCCCUCUACUGCGGCGUCUCCUCAGCGAGUGCCUCCUCUCCCUCUCCUUCCCGUUUCAUAAUCUAACAUACUGAGAGAUGACAACGUGCUAGCAGCCCUUGCUCGCUCUCAGCGCCUCCUCCGCCUCGGCGUCCGCUCUGGCCGCACUCGAGGAGGCCCUUCAGCCCGCCACUGCGCUAUGAGGGCCCCUCUCUGGGGCUGGCCGAGGCCUGAGCCGGCUCCCUCUGCUCUCGCGGAAGUGUGAAGAGAGAGGCGCUGCAAGAGCCAGGGGUGCGCGCGGCGCUCGCGGGUCGGCGCGAGUUCCAGGUGAGCGCGGGCUCGGCAAGCCCCGCACUCGGCGCGACCGGCUGGCGCCUGCUGGGUUUGAUCGGGGGGACGAGUUCCCUCUGGGCUGCCAGAGUGCCCGGGCUACGUGCCGCAAAGUCCCGCAGCGGUGAGUGCCAUUGAGAGGUGAAGCUGGCUGGGCUUCUGGGUGGGGUGGGGACUUGAGAACUUUUCUGUCUAGCUAAAGGAUUGUAAAUGCACCAAUCAGCACUCUGUGUCUGCCUAAAGGUUUGUAAACGCACCAAUCAGCACUCUGUCAAAACGGACCAAUCAGCGCUCUGUAAAGCGGACCAAUCAGCUCUCUGUAAAAUGGACCAAUCAACAGGAUGUGGGUGGGGCCAAAUAAAGGAAUAAAAGCAGGCCACCGCUAGUAGCAGCAAUCGGCUCGGUCCACUUUUAGGUAGUAGAGGUUUUGUUCUUUUGCUCUUCGCAAUAAAUCUUACUGCUGUUCAGUCUUUGGGUCUGCUGCUGUGUUUAAGCUGUAACAUUCACUGGGAAGGUCUGUAGCUUCACUCCGGGAGCCAGGGGGGCUACAAACCCACCAGAAAGAAUAAACUCCAGACACAUCUGAACAUAGGAAAGAAAAGACUCCGGACACACAGUGUGUAAGAACUGUAAUAUUCACUGUGAGGGUCCAGGGCCUCAAGACCAAGAACCCAACAAUUCCGGAUACAAUACUAUGAUAGUUAUAUAAUUAUCAUGCAACUCUUUUCUGUUCGUUUAUUUGAGACAGAGUCUCCGUCUGUUGCCAAGGCUGGAGUGCAGUGGUGCGAUCCCGGCUCACUGCAACCCCCCGCCCCCCCGGUUCAAGGGAUUCACUUGUUUCAGCCUCCCCGAGUAGCUGGGAUUAGGGGUGCACGCCACCACGCCCAGCUGCUUUUUUUUUCAGGACCUCAGGUGAUCUGCCCACCUCAGGCUCCCAAAGUGCUGGGAUUACAGUUGUGAGCCACUGCACCCAGCCACUAAUAUUAUUUUUAAUAACAGUACCUAGAUAAUUG